GGGGCUCCGUGAGGGGCUGGGACGGGCGCGAGUUGGAAGGGAGGGAAUUUAGGUUAUCAGAAAUUUAAGGCACUGGUACAGGUAAGCGGUGAAUGAUUAGCCCGCUCGAACACAGAUAAAGAACGCACUAAGAGAACGCCUGAGACCAAAAAUCGGCACUGGAUCAAAGGCGCGGGAAGAAUGAGUGCAUGGACUGAGGGUAUGACAGCUCAGGGACUUCUCUGUUGAGAGUCCCGCUGUGCAGACACCCAGCUUGAGCUGACCUGCUGCUGUACCAGGCUAUUACUAUUUACUUCUAGAAAUCCAGCCCCUGAGGCUGUUGGGGAAGCUCGGGUUGAGCCCGAAGAGGAGGAAGCAUGCCUGGCAGGCAGUGUGGGUGAGCGCUGAGGCCGCCCAGCCUCCCCUGGGCAGAAGCUGCUUCGCAGUACACCAGCUUAGCUCUGCUCCAGGGAGGUGCCAUCUCCAACCUGUGUUGCUGGUGUCCAAGUCAGCUUCCAGGCUUGUUCAUCCACGUUUUCUACAACUGCACUAAUUCCUGGGGACCUUCUUGCACUUCCCAGCCACUGAGAGGUCGAGGUUUGUGUCCAUCAGCAUGCAGAUGCAGAAUGGAAGUUAAAAUGUUGCAAAAUACAUUGAACGUCUAGGCAGAGGCACCAAGUUCUACAGGACAGGGUGAAAAUAAAACUGCCCAGAGGAGUCUUCUUCAUAACGUCUUCAUUAAUCUGUGAAGUAUCAGAAGUUCCUAGGCUUAUUUUCCACAGUCUGUGGCUGAAGGCAGUAUUUACAACUUCCACCAACCUCAUACACAGACUCCACCAGCCUUUCCACCUUGCUUUUUAUUCCUGGGAAAAAAUCUGAUUGACUGCAGAUAUUUGCUGCCAGUGCUCUCGAGCAGCAAUUUAUACUCAACAACCCAGUUAUAAAGUUCUAACUGCAGCAGUGCAAAUGCUUGGUGACUCGAAGCACAUGCAAAUUGAAGCAAAGCUGCCUGCUCCUGAGAAGCUACUAGCAUAAGUCUUGGCAAGACCCAUAAUUAAAGUGCGCAAUAGGAGAAUAAAACUGGAAAGGACCAGUGAUCAUUCUAAUCACAGACUUGUACUAAAAUCUUUGUCUCCAUUUUUAUCUUGCUGGGUUUAUUUUUUUUUUCCUGAACACAUAUUUUUAUUCUCCCCCUUCUAAAACAUGUAUUUCUUGUUAAUGUGAAUUCCUUCCGAUCUAACUUUUUACAACUACUUCUUUUAUUUCUUUACCACUGCCUGCAGAAACAACUCCUCCCAGCCUUUAACAGCUGCAUAAAUUAAGUAUCUCUUAUUAUGUAUAUACAGUUUCAGUCUCAUCGUUGUAACUGGACACGGUUCGAUAUUUAAGAGAUAUCAAGCCUAAAAACACACAAAGAAGUCCAUGAGUGAUUCUUUCUGGAGUUUCGUAAUAGUCUUUUUGCCAUGUAAGAAAUACCACUGUGCUGUGCACGUGUGCAGAUCUGGGAAUGCCAUUAGACUACAGCUAAAAUCUUGUUUAUCAUCUGCCCUAACUCUGGUGUUCUCCUGUAACACUAUUGAACACUCUAUUCAGUGGUAAUUUAGGAAAAAAAAAUGAGGCCAUUAAAAAAAAAAAUCACAAGGCUUGGCCUCAUUUUGUACACUAAG